GAUGAACGCUGGCGGCGUGCCUAAUACAUGCAAGUCGAGCGAACAGACGAGGAGCUUGCUCCUCUGACGUUAGCGGCGGACGGGUGAGUAACACGUGGAUAACCUACCUAUAAGACUGGGAUAACUUCGGGAAACCGGAGCUAAUACCGGAUAAUAUAUUGAACCGCAUGGUUCAAUAGUGAAAGACGGUUUUGCUGUCACUUAUAGAUGGAUCCGCGCCGCAUUAGCUAGUUGGUAAGGUAACGGCUUACCAAGGCAACGAUGCGUAGCCGACCUGAGAGGGUGAUCGGCCACACGAGAACUGAGACACGGUCCAGACUCCUGCGGGAGGCAGCAGUAGGGAAUCUUCCGCAAUAGGCGAGAGCUUGACGGAGCAACGCCGCGUGAGUGAUGAAGGUCUUCGGAUCGUAAAACUCUGUUAUUAGGGAAGAACAAAUGUGUAAGUAACUAUGCACGUCUUGACGGUACCUAAUCAGAAAGCAACGGCUAACUACGUG
rnacentral:rRNA from 1 species